UGAGGAAUCUUGGACAAUGGGCGCAAGCCUGAUCCAGCCAUGCCGCGUGAGUGAUGAAGGCCUUAGGGUUGUAAAGCUCUUUUGGCGGGGAUGAUAAUGACCGUACCCGCAGAAUAAGCCACGGCUAAAUUCGUGCCAGCAGCCGCGGUAAUACGAAUGUGGCAAGCGUUGUUCGGAAUCACUGGGCGUAAAGAGUACGUAGGCGGCUUGAUAAGUCAGGAGUGAAAUCCCAGGGCUCAACCCUGGAACUGCUCUUGAAACUAUCUGGCUAGAAGCUCGGAGAGGUUGGCGGAAUUCCCAGUGUAGAGGUGAAAUUCGCAGAUAUUGGGAGGAACACCAGUGGCGUAAGCGGCCAACUGGACGAGCAUUGACGCUGAGGUACGAAAGCGUGGGGAUCAAA
rnacentral:rRNA from 1 species